GAUGAACGCUGGCGGCGUGCUUAACACAUGCAAGUCGAACGAAGCACCUUAUUCUGAUUUCUUCGGAAUGAAAAAUUUGGUGACUGAGUGGCGGACGGGUGAGUAACGCGUGGGUAACCUGCCUCAUACAGGGGGAUAACAGUUAGAAAUGACUGCUAAUACCGCAUAAGACCACAGCACCGCAUGGUGCAGGGGUAAAAACUCCGGUGGUAUGAGAUGGACCCGCGUCUGAUUAGGUAGUUGGUGGGGUAACGGCCUACCAAGCCGACGAUCAGGAGCCGACCUGAGAGGGUGACCGGCCACAUUGGGACUGAGACACGGCCCAAACUCCUACGGGAGGCAGCAGUGGGGAAUAUUGCACAAUGGGGGAAACCCUGAUGCAGCGACGCCGCGUGAGCGAUGAAGUAUUUCGGUAUGCAAAGCUCUAUCAGCAGGGAAGAAAAUGACGGUACCUGACUAAGAAGCACCGGCUAAAUACGUGCCAGCAGCCGCCGCCG
rnacentral:rRNA from 1 species